AUUGAACGCUGGCGGCAUGCCUAACACAUGCAAGUCGAGCGAGCGGCGGACGGGUGAGUAAUGUCUGGGAAACUGCCUGAUGGAGGGGGAUAACUACUGGAAACGGUAGCUAAUACCGCAUACCAUCAGAUGUGCCCAUAUGGGAUUAGCGAUUAGGUGGGGUAACGAGUCACCUAGGCGACGAUCCCUAGCUGGUCUGAGAGGAUGACCAGCCACACUGGAAUGGAACCACGGUCCAUACUCCUACGGGAGGCAGCGGUGGGGAAUAUUGCACGUUGGGCGCAAGCCUGAUGCAGCCAUGCCGCGUGUAUGAAGAAGGCCUUCGGGUUGUAAAGUACUUUCAGCGGGGAGGCGUUACCCGCAGAAGAAGCACCGGCUAACUCCGUGCCAGCAGCCGCGGUAAUUC
rnacentral:rRNA from 1 species